AGUAACUGAAAGGUAAUGCAGUUGGUAUAAUUAUUAAGCAUUAAAUUAUUAUAUAAUCUAGAUUUAAAAAUUUUUAGGUUAUGUGAUGCCAAAGUGUAAUUAGAAAGGAUUAUAUUAUUAAUACAUAAUCUAAAUUUUAAAAUUUUUAAGUUAUAAGAUGCCAAAGUUGCAGAGCAUUACUGUAUUUAAGAGUUUUUUAUUUAUACAUACAUGUUUAAGGGAAAACUUUAAGUUAUUUCUGCUAUGAGAUGUGUAGUCUAUAUUAUAGUAUAAUUUGAUGCAGACCAGAAAAAACUAUGUUUAGUAUAAAAUUUAACAAAUAAAUAAACAAAAACAGCAUUUCCUCCACAAAAAAAGUUACAUACAAGUACUUGACUUGUUCUGUUUGUAAGGCAGCUAUGUACCAUAGCGGUCGGAGCUACAAAUUGUAUUCGGGUAUAGUAGCACUGCCACUUGGGCCAAUAUCUAUACGAAAUUUCGAGAAGUUAUCUUAUUGAAUAAAAAAAAGUUUUCCAUGCAAGAACUUGA